GGCCAGUUAACUCAGUCAGUUGAGUGUGGCGCUAACAACACCAAGGUCGUGGGUUCGAUUCCCAUUCGGUCCC
rfam:Apaloderma vittatum contig31995, whole genome shotgun sequence.